rnacentral:rRNA from 1 species
UACGUAGGGGUCAAGCGUUGUCCGGAUUUAUUGGGCGUAAAGAGCUCGUAGGCGGUUCGGCAAGUCAGCUGUGAAAUCUCCACGCUCAACGUGGAGGGGUCAGCUGAUACUGCUGUGACUUGAGUCCGGUAGGGGAGUGUGGAAUUCCCGGUGUAGCGGUGAAAUGCGCAGAUAUCGGGAGGAACACCAGUAGCGAAGGCGGCACUCUGGGCCGGUACUGACGCUGAGGAGCGAAAGCGUGGGGAGCAAACAGG